rnacentral:lncRNA from 1 species
AACAAAUGUCAAGGAGAAAGAAUACAACCUAUUAAAAUUUCGAGUUCAGUACUAAAACACACGAUUCCUAUUUGGUGAAAUUAGAAGUUGUAGCAUCAUACUCACUGUCAGUUUACCAGACCUGCGAAAUAGUACAGUUUUACAAAUAGUAGGAACACAUGCCAUUCAGAUAAACAUUGCAAUGUGAAUUUGAAGAAUGAAAGCUGAAAAUUUGCUCACUGUCGCUAUGCUGAAAGAAGAACCUUGGAAGUUUACAUUUGUUCUCAUGUCUAAUGAAGUAUCGUUUAAAGCAAGCGAUUUUAAAAAAAUGUAUAAAUGCUGAUGCACAUACUAACCAAUCUCUAACUACAUCACACCUGCACCGAGCAUAAUAAGCAAACCCUGCAGUGUACAAUCUGAUUGAUUUGCUUCUCUCCUGCCAUUUAUAGGAAUUGAACCGAACCCAACCAAUUGCCUCUGGAACACACAAAAUCCAUUAGCAUCUAGUCUAUAAAGAGGUGAAUAAAACAGGGGAAAUCCAUUAGGGACUGUUUAUUCUUCCACAGAGUAAUAGAAAUAAAAUAAGAAUGGACUGAAGCGUCAUAUAGGAAUCUACUUGGUACAAAUACAAUAGCUCAUCGGUAAAGUUACACAAUAAUGGUUUUAAAACUCAAACAAAUUUUUCUCUUACUGAAUAUGGGCAGAAACCUAGUAUGAAAUCCUCACCUUUGGUACCUACCUAAUAUCAUCAUAAUUGAUAAUUGUCCGUGGCUAUUCUUACCUGUCUUUGCUAUAUCUUUGAAGCUACAGAAAGAAAAAUGUAGACCUAUUCGAUUGUAAUUGAGUCUCACUGUAAGUGUGUGCAUGUGUAAGUGCCCAUAUAUCUAUGUGCACGCUACUGUUGGAGUAAAAUUAGAUACUUGCCUCAAGAUAGGCAGAAUAUUAAAAUAAGUAAAUUAGUACUAGCACAAUAAUGUGAUUUUGCUUCUUUUAGGGAAAUCCAAUUUUACGUAGUUGAGAGAUACCUAAAGUAUAAUAUAUUAGAAACUGUGCAACAUGUACUUGACAUGUGUGUCCGUAUUUAGCAUUUAGUGUGUACGUAUUUUUUAUCAGUAAGUAACAUACUGGAAAUAUAAUUAACCUCAUCCGUUCAUUCCAAUUGUUUCCAUACUACAUGACAAGGAAACCUAAUGACAUUCGCUAAUGAUAGUAUGUGCUAAUAAAGGUUACCUUUAUAACAAAACCAUGUAGUCCAAGAGACACUAUUUUUUACAGAACGAAUCCUUUGAUGUGCUUAUCCCAAAAUAAACUGAGAAGGAGGCAAGAAUAAAAUGGUUCUAUCUAUCUUGUAAAAAAACAAUUCUACCUGUCUGUAACAUGGAUAAGGAGCUUGUUCAACCAGGGAGUAGAACAAGCGAAGAGCACCAUACACCUCGCACAUGAAAAAUUAAGAAUCAAUAUUCAAGUAAGGUACAACUUUUGGAGUGAUGAGUGUGAAUCUUCAAGGUUCUCUUUGACCUCAUCUAACUGAUCUGGCCGCCACAACCUAUCCCCCUCCCUAUCUCCAAGAUCUUCCCAAAUCAAGUUACCAGAUGCAAUAUAACAACAUAGUUGUGCAAAAUUGAGAGUGAGAUGACAUCAUGAGUGAUUGUUUGAU